AAUGAGUGUAGGGAGAAUGUCCCAAGAUUUGUAUCUCAUCACCUGGACGAUUUGCCGCCUGUUACAUACUCCAGCAUGGAUGUGUGUUGUCUACUACGGCGAAUGGACCAGCUGUGUGCUGAGGUGGGUGCUUUAAAACAUGUAGUUAAACUACAGGCGGAUGUCUGCGAGCAAGUUAUGACCAAUGCUGUGGAGGUCGACCAACGUGUGACUGUUCUUGAGUGUCGGUCUGAGGUGAUGGCUGAGCCUGUUACUCUGAAUGCUCAGGGGUCGGGGACCGAUUCCCGUUUUCCCCUGGGGAAACACGCAGAGGAGCGGUGGGGGAGUCGAAGUAAAGGCGGCCCGCGCGGAAGGCAGGGAGCCAGAGCUUUGGCUGCUUCAAGGACUGGGACAAGCACAGUGUCAGCGUUUUGUCCGGAGAUGUUGCUAUGUGGUCAAGAUCAGGCUCCGACGACAGCCUCAGGUCGUAAUAUGGAAACUACAGCAGAAACGGAGGAUCCCGUUGAGACAGUGAUUUCUACAUGCUCCCCGCAAUGGAGUAAAGUUGUGAAAAAUGGCAAGCCUCGUCACAAGCUGGAGAAGGUUAAUUCGGGUUCAGGAAUGGAUGCUGCUACCACUGGACGUAAUAAGAGGCCUGGACCUGUAUCGAUUAUCGGCACUGGCGCUAAAAAAGUCCGUAUGAAAGGAGAAGUGGAACCAAAGGGGAAGCGUGACUUCUUAGAACACACUGAGCCAUGAAUGUGGACGUCGGAGGUGGAUAUAAAGGGAGCAGAGAGCAGGUCAGAGCACAUCAGCCCUGCACAUUCAAACAGAAGAACAUCUGUCUGUGUCGGGAACCAUGAAGACUCUGCUGGCUCUCACAGUCCUGACGCUCACCUGCUUCCUGAAGCACAGCUCUGCCAUGCCAGUCGCUAUAGACAUGGUGAUAAAAAAUGUCGAAUGCUGCGAGGCCGUCACUAAUAAAAUCCACAUACCAGUGGAUAAGGUGACGAACGUGACAAUGACCAGCGACUGCAAACUUAAAGC